GACGAACGCUGGCGGCGUGCCUAAUACAUGCAAGUCGAGCGAAUGACGAGAAGCUUGCUUCUCUGAUUUAGCGGCGGACGGGUGAGUAACACGUGGGCAACCUGCCCUACAGAUUGGGAUAACUCAGGGAAACCUGGGCUAAUACCGGAUAAUCCUUCGAAUCACAUGUUUUGAAGUUGAAAGGCGCUUCGGCGUCACUGUAGGAUGGGACCGCGGUGCAUUAGCUAGUUGGUGGGGUAACGGCCUACCAAGGCAACGAUGCAUAGCUGACCUGAGAGGGUGAUCGGCCACAUUGGGACUGAGACACGGCCCAAACUCCUACGGGAGGCAGCGGUAGGGAAUCUUCCACAAUGGACGAAAGUCUGAUGGAGCAACGCCGCGUGAGUGAUGAAGGUUUUCGGAUCGUAAAACUCUGUUGUAAGGGAAGAACAAGUACGUUAGGAAAUGAACGUACCUUGACGGUACCUUAUUAGAAAGCCACGGCUAACUACGUGCCAGCCGCCGCAGUAA
rnacentral:rRNA from 1 species